CUGCGAUUUCUGUGACUUCUGCUACUUCUGCGAUUUCUGUGAUUCCUGCGAUUUCUGCGACUUACCACCGUAUGAGAAAGUUACAUCUGUCAACACAGAAAAUUGCAUCUCAACAAACCUGUCUUUGGCAAGUACCUGAACUACAUUUCAGUCACUCAGUAAAGUGAUAACUCAAAAUAUCAUUGUCAACAGAUCUGAAGAAAUUGCCACUGCGUCUUUAGACCGUUUUCGUCAGACGAGAGACACAGUUCUGACUCUGAUUACUGGUUGCUGUACGUAUCUAUCCACAUCAAGGCUGUUUUUGAGAGAGACUCGUGAAGAUUCAAGACAGUUCUUAGAGGAUUUGCAGUUUAAAAGUGAAAUAAUUGUGAAAUAAGUGUGUGAAUGAUUAA